rnacentral:rRNA from 1 species
CAGCCGUAAACAGUGUGCGUUAGGUGUGUCGGUAACCACGUGUUACUGAUGCGCCGAAGAGAAAUCGUGAAACGCACCACCUGGGAAGUACGGUCGCAAGGCUGAAACUUAAAGGAAUUGGCGGGGGAGCACCACAACAGGUGGAGCCUGCGGUUUAAUUGGAUUCAACGCCGGACAUCUCACCGGAUAAGACAGCUGAAUGAUUGUCAAUCUGAAGGUUUUACGUGACUAGCUGAGAGGAGGUGCAUGGCGUCAGUGACU